rnacentral:rRNA from 1 species
UGGGGAAUAUUGCACAAUGGGCGCAAGCCUGAUGCAGCCAUGCCGCGUGUAUGAAGAAGGCCUUCGGGUUGUAAAGUACUUUCAGUCGGGAGGAAGGUGUCAAGGUUAAUAACCUUGGCAAUUGACGUUACCGACAGAAGAAGCACCGGCUAACUCCGUGCCAGCAGCCGCGGUAAUACGGAGGGUGCAAGCGUUAAUCGGAAUUACUGGGCGUAAAGCGCACGCAGGCGGUUGAUUGAGUCAGAUGUGAAAUCCCCGGGCUUAACCCGGGAAUUGCAUCUGAUACUGGUCAGCUAGAGUCUUGUAGAGGGGGGUAGAAUUCCAUGUGUAGCGGUGAAAUGCGUAGAGAUGUGGAGGAAUGCCGGGAGCGAAGGCGGCCGCCUAGACAAAGACUGACGCUCAGGUGCGAAAGCGUGGGGAGCAAACAGG